CUAGGAAAUCUGAGCGAACCUCUGUGGAGGGAAGCUCGAGAUCCAAGCAGAAGUACGAAACCUCGCUCGGUGGCGAGGACCUAACGAAGACGAAGCCAGGCUUCCUAUCACUCCUCAGUUGUUAAGGGAGCCGGGCCUUUAGCUCAGCUGGUUAGAGCGCGCCUCUGAUAAGGGCGAGGUCUCAGGUUCGAUCCCUGAAAGGCCCACUAGGUCCUGAUCGAUCUGAGACAGACCGCGAGCAGGCCCGACACAAUGUACGACCUGUACUUUAAAAAGAGAAUAGCAUGUAGGCAACAUCUUAGAAAGAAGCAAAGAGUAUCGAAUUCUCUGCAUCACGU
rnacentral:tRNA from 1 species